rnacentral:rRNA from 1 species
AGAGUUUGAUCCUGGCUCAGGACGAACGCUGGCGGUGUGCUUCACACAUGCAAGUCGAACGGAGUAGCAAUACUCAGUGGCGGACGGGUGAGUAACACGUGGGAAUCUACCAUUAGGUGGGGAAUAACAGGCCGAAAGGACUGCUAAUGCCGCAUAUGUAGGCAUCUCGACAGAGAUGUUUAUGAAAGGAGUAAUCCGCCUUUUGAUGAGCCCGCGUCCGAUUAGCUAGUUGGUAGGGUAAAAGCCUACCAAGGCGACGAUCGGUAGGUGGUCUGAGAGGGUGAUCACCCACAAUGGGACUGAGACACGGCCCAUACUCCUACGGGAGGCAGCAGUGGGGAAUUUUACGCAAUGGGGGAAACCCUGACGUAGCGACACCGCGUGAGCGAAGAAGCCCUUUGGGGUGUAAAGCUCUGUCAACAGGAACGAAACAAAUGACGGUACCUGUGGAGGAAGCAUCGGCUAACUACGUGCCAGCAGCCGCGGUAAGACGUAGGAUGCAAGCGUUGUCCGGAUUUAUUGGGCGUAAAGAGUUCGUAGGCGGUUUGUUAAGUCUGAUGUUAAAGACCGGGGCUCAACCUCGGAAAUGCAUUGGAUACUGGCAGACUGGAGUGCAGUAGAGGCUAGUGGAAUUCCCAGUGUAGCGGUGAAAUGCGUAGA